rnacentral:rRNA from 1 species
AGCAGUCGCCGCGGUAAUACGUAGGGCGCAAGCGUUGUCCGGAUUUAUUGGGUUUAAAGGGUCCGUAGGCGGAUCUGUAAGUCAGUGGUGAAAUCUCACAGCUUAACUGUGAAACUGCCAUUGAUACUGCAGGUCUUGAGUAAAUUUGAAGUGGCUGGAAUAAGUAGUGUAGCGGUGAAAUGCAUAGAUAUUACUUAGAACACCAAUUGCGAAGGCAGGUCACUAAGAUUUAACUGACGCUGAUGGACGAAAGCGUGGGGAGCGAACAGGAUUAGAUACCCGAGUAGUCCCUGUCUCUUAUAA